GCCAGGGUGGUCUAGUGGUAAGACACCGGGUUAGCAGCAACCGGAGAUCGUCGGUUCGAAUCCGACCCCUGGUA
rnacentral:tRNA from 1 species